AUUGAACGCUUGCUUCAGGCCUAACACAUGCAAGUCGAGCGGAUGAAGGGAGCUUGCUCCUGGAUUCAGCGGCGGACGGGUGAGUAAUGCCUAGGAAUCUGCCUGGUAGUGGGGGAUAACGUCCGGAAACGGGCGCUAAUACCGCAUACGUCCUGAGGGAGAAAGUGGGGGAUCUUCGGACCUCACGCUAUCAGAUGAGCCUAGGUCGGAUUAGCUAGUUGGUGGGGUAAAGGCCUACCAAGGCGACGAUCCGUAACUGGUCUGAGAGGAUGAUCAGUCACACUGGAACUGAGACACGGUCCAGACUCCUACGGGAGGCAGCAGUGGGGAAUAUUGGACAAUGGGCGAAAGCCUGAUCCAGCCAUGCCGCGUGUGUGAAGAAGGUCUUCGGAUUGUAAAGCACUUUAAGUUGGGAGGAAGGGCAGUAAGUUAAUACCUUGCUGUUUUGACGUUACCAACAGAAUAAGCACCGGCUAACUUCGUG
rnacentral:rRNA from 1 species